GAUGAAGAACGUAGCGAAAUGCGAUAAGUAGUGUGAAUUGCAGAAUUCAGUGAAUCAUCGAAUCUUUGAACGCACAUUGCGCCUUUUGGUAGUCCAAAGGACAUGCCUGUUCGAGCGUCAUUUGUACCCUCAAGCUUUGCUUGGUGUUGGGCGUCUUGUCUCUAGCUUUGCUGGAGACUCGCCUUAAAGUAAUUGGCAGCCGGCCUACUGGUUUCGGAGCGCAGCACAAGUCGCACUCUCUAUCAGCAAAGGUCUAGCAUCCAUUAAGCCUUUUUUUCAACUUUUGACCUCGGAUCAGGUAGGGAUACCCGCUGAACUUAAGCAUAUCAAUAAGCGAGGA
rnacentral:misc_RNA from 1 species